GGUGGUCCCACCUGACCCCAUGCCGAACUCAGAAGUGAAACGCCGUAGCGCCGAUGAUAGUGUGGGGUCUCCCCAUGCGAGAGUAGGGAACUGCCAGGC
rnacentral:rRNA from 1 species